GCGGCAAGAGCUCAAAUUUGAAAGCUGGCCCCUUCGGGGUCCGCGUUGUAAUUUGCAGAGGAUGCUUCGGGAGCGGUCCCCAUCUAAGUGCCCUGGAACGGGCCGUCAUAGAGGGUGAGAAUCCCGUCUGGGAUGGGGUGCCCGCGCCCGUGUGAAGCUCCUUCGACGAGUCGAGUUGUUUGGGAAUGCAGCUCUAAAUGGGUGGUAAAUUUCAUCUAAAGCUAAAUACUGGCCGGAGACCGAUAGCGCACAAGUAGAGUGAUCGAAAGAUGAAAAGCACUUUGAAAAGAGAGUUAAACAGCACGUGAAAUUGUUGAAAGGGAAGCGCUUGCGACCAGACUCGCUCGCGGGGUUCAGCCGGCCUUCGGGCCGGUGUACUUCCCCGCGGGCGGGCCAGCGUCGGUUUGGGCGGCCGGUCAAAGGCCCUCGGAAUGUAACGCCCCCCGGGGCGUCUUAUAGCCGAGGGUGCCAUGCGGCCAGCCCGGACCGAGGAACGCGCUUCGGCUCGGACGCUGGCAUAAUGGUCGUAAGCGACCCGUCUUAAGACCGAACACAAGACUUCUUGUUUCGGGUGGUGCUUUCAUUAUUACCUUUAACUCAUCUUGGA
rnacentral:rRNA from 1 species